rnacentral:lncRNA from 1 species
ACUUGGAUUGUAAAACUAUCAUCACAAGUAGAGAUUUUCAACUGCUUGGGAUCUCAGUAACAUGGGAAAUGGAACCUCAAGAAAGUCAAACGAUGAUCUCUUGGAUGAUGAAGAUAUCGAUCACCCACUUUUCAAGGAGCUCCAGCUUGUGGUGAUUGGAUGUCAUGGUUCUGGGAAGAAUGCUAUAGUAAAUGCCAUUUUCAGAAACAAUGUGUUUACCUUUUCAACAUCCUCUAAAAAACAUGUUGAGAUAAAACGCACUGUUUUUGGAACACGAGUAACUAUAGUUCGUGCUCCUGGCUGGUCAGAAGAACUGACUUCACUCCGAAAGCACCGCGAGUUACGACAGGAGAUUAGUGAUGCAGUGAGAUCAUUUGAAAAAGGACCUCAUGCAAUCAUUCUGUCCAUUGCUGUAAACUCCACUCUUACAGAAACUACACAAGCUACCCUGGAAAAACUCCUUACUAGAAGAUUCUGGGAUCACACCAUCAUCAUCUUCAAGGGGGAUUUACAAAAGGCGAACAGUGAAGAUAAAAAGAACAUACAAACCCUCAUUAAAGCACUUAACAAACGGUGCUGUGUCCUACAAAAAACAACCAGUUUUGAAGAGAGCAAAAAGCUGAUUGAAGACAUAGCACUGAUGAUCGCAGGGAAACAGAAUGUCCCGCUUCAUUUCUCUGUUGAUGAAAGUGAGAAACAUGAUGAAUCACAUGAAAAGAAGAACCUUUUAAAACGACUGAGACAAAAAAUCGAAAAACUUAAAAAACUUGAUAGAAAUGUACUGACCAAAAGGGCUGAGUCAACAAACAACUUAGUACGACUGCAAAAGAUUUUAGGAAUGCAUGAGGAUCCUGACACAGAUUCUACUCAAUCUGAUCAGUCUACACGUGAGGAAGAAAACACAGAAAGAGAAGAAAGAACAAGUGAAGCAAUGGCUGAAAUCCAUCCUACAGAAACAUCAAACCUGCUGGAUCAGACUGAGAUGGCAUCUGAUAAGGAUCCAGCCCGAGAUGCCCAUAAACUAAAUGGGACUUUCCAGUGUGACUCCUGUGCUGCCAAUUUCAGUGAGGGUGAUCUUUAUAGCUGGUAUGGCUGUCUUGUGGAGAUCUUGGAAGAUCUAACUGAGGAACAGUUUAAAAAAAUGAAGAACAAGAUAUGCAAUAUGAAGGAUGACCGAAUUCGAACAUUGCAUGUGGAGGACAAAAACCGAAACACACUGGCACAUAACAUGAUUCAACACUGGGGAGAAGAGAAAUGCAUCAGCUACACCAGGGAUAUUCUAAAGGAUAUUCCACGGAACGACAAUAAAGUAAAAGAUCUUAUUCUGCCAUUCUUGCAGAGGAUUGGAGAAUCAUGGAAUCAGGAAUGUCAGAGUGUUUUCAUCAACAGUGAGAGCUGUGAGGAGAACGUGACCCUGAGUGGCAGAGAAGCAUCACUGCAACUAGCUCUCUGAGUGAAGUGCUGGGAACCUCUCCUCAAAUAGCCAGCGCUUGCCUGUUCUACACGGCGUAAAGUCGCACACAGGCCAGAAGAUCUUUCCAUCCACUCUUUUCCUCCGUUUAAUCUUCUCACAGACUUUAGGACACUUAAGGACUGUUUGAAACACAAGGACUGUUUGCUGUGUUCAUAAAGGACACAUAGCUGAACAACACCAUGAUAAGAACUUGUUGCUCAGACAGGCUGGAGCUGAACACGUCAUUGGAACUGGACAACAAGCUGUUAACUGGACUCUGCUGACGUAAUGAUAUUGAUCAAUUCUGUCCAAUCACAUGUCAUUUGCAUAAAUGUAUAUGUGCUUGGAUUAAGUCUGAGGGCUUCUCUCUCUGUCCCUCGACUGGCUUUAGUUUCUUUCUCUCUCUAUCUCUUUCUCUUAAAUCUCUAUCAAGAUUUUAUUACACUAUGUGUUGACUCAUUGAUGUACUUUUAUUCUUUUCUAAUAUAUAUUUAAUAAUUUUUGUUCCUUUUAUAUAUAUCUGUAAUGCUGAAACUAUUUUUUUUCCAGUAAAC